UCGCCUGUUUAUCAAAAACAUGUCCUUUUGUGAACAAUUUAAGGUUUGACCUGCCCACUGAAAUUUUUUAAAGGGCCGCGGUAUUUUGACCGUGCAAAGGUAGCAUAAUCAUUAGUCUUUUAAUUGAAGGCUAGAAUGAAUGGUUGGACGAGGUAUUAACUGUCUCCGUGCAAAUGAAGUUAGAAUUUAACUUUUAAGUGAAAAGGCUUAAAUUAUUUUAGAGGACGAGAAGACCCCAUAGAGCUUUAUAUUGAUUUUUUUUAUAUUUUAUUUAGUUUAUUUUUAAUUAUAGAAGAUUCAAUAUUUUGUUGGGGUGACAGGAAGAUAUAAAAAACUCUUUUUAUUUAUGAGCCAGUAAUAAUUGAAUUUUUGAUCCAUUUUUAGUGAUUAUAAGUCUAAGUUACCUUGGGGAUAACAGCGUAAUCUUUUUCGAGAGUUCUUAUCGACAAAAAGGGUUGCGACCUCGAUGUUGGAUUAAGGGUAAUUUUGGGUGUAGAUGUUCAAAAUUUAGGUCUGUUCGACCUUUAAAUCCUUACAUGAUCUGAGUUCAAACCGGAGA
rnacentral:rRNA from 1 species